rnacentral:rRNA from 1 species
GCCUGCGAUCAUAUUAAUACUUAGGCAUCGGAUCCCAUUAGAAUUCCACAAUAAAGCAUGCUGAGGAGAGAGUAGUACAAGUUACCUCUUUGGAAGUUCUCGUGUUGCAUUCC